GACGGAGGGUGCUAGCGUUGUUCGGAAUCACUGGGCGUAAAGGGCUCGUAGGCGGCCAACUAAGUCAGACGUGAAAUCCCUCAGCUUAACUGGGGAACUGCGUCUGAUACUGGAUGGCUUGGAUUUGGGAGAGGGAUGCGGAAUUCCAGGUGUAGCGGUGAAAUGCGUAGAUAUCUGGAGGAACACCGGUGGCGAAGGCGGCAUCCUGGACCAAUAUUGACGCUGAGGAGCGAAAGCCAGGGGAGCAAACGGG
rnacentral:rRNA from 1 species